rnacentral:rRNA from 1 species
GACGUAGGGCGCGAGCGUUGUCCGGAUUUAUUGGGCGUAAAGAGCUCGUAGGCGGCUUGUCGCGUCGUCCGUGAAAACCUGCGGCUCAACUGCAGGCUGGCGGUCGGUACGGGCAGGCUGGAGUUCGGUAGGGGAGACUGGAAUUCCUGGUGUAGCGGUGAAAUGCGCAGAUAUCAGGAGGAACACCAAUGGCGAAGGCAGCACUCUGGGACGUGACUGACGCUGAGACGCGAAAGCGUGGGGAGCAAACAGG